GAUGAACGCUAGCGGCAGGCCUAAUACAUGCAAGUCGGACGGGAUUGGGGAGCUUGCUCCCCAUGAGAGUGGCGCACGGGUGCGUAACACGUAUGUAACCUACCUUCGUCAGGGGAUAGCCUCUCGAAAGAGAGAUUAAGACCGCAUAACAUUAUUGAAUAGCAUUAUUUAAUAAUCAAAUAUUUAUAGGACGAAGAUGGGCAUGCGGAACAUUAGCAGUUGGUAAGGUAACGGCUUACCAAGGCUACGAUGUUUAGGGGAUCUGAGAGGAUGACCCCCACC
rnacentral:rRNA from 1 species